UACAGAGGGGGCAAGCGUUGUCCGGAUUUAUUGGGCGUAAAGAGCGUGUAGGCGGCCAGGUAGGUCUGCUGUGAAAACUCGAGGCUCAACCUCGAGACGUCGGCGGAAACCAUCUGGCUAGAGUCCGGAAGAGGAGAGUGGAAUUCCUGGUGUAGCGGUGAAAUGCGCAGAUAUCAGGAAGAACACCCGUGGCGAAGGCGGCUCUCUGGGACGGUACUGACGCUGAGACGCGAAAGCGUGGGGAGCGAACAGG
rnacentral:rRNA from 1 species